AAACAAAGUUGUUUCCUGUCAAUAUGUAAACAUAAGAAAUUUAUACAGAAUAACAUCUCUAUAAACAUAAGUUUAACCAACAUCCUAACAGUUAGAAAUGUCACGUUGAGCUAUAUGUAGAUCUCUACUAGAAUUUACUAGAUCUAGAUGCAGACAGAAACUUAGAGAUUUAAGAAGUUAUUAAAAAAUGGUCAACUCUAAGAAUCGUGUUUUUCUAUCAAAAGUAAUAAAAGCAUUGGCAUCACUGUCUGCUCUUCUUGCAUGCUCAAGUGCCACUCUAACCAAAACGGAAGGCGUAGAUCUAGAUCAAAAUGUGAAUAGAAUUGCAUUUGAUAGAUCUAGUAGUGGAAUCAAAUCUGCAUUGAAGCAUGCCGAUAAAAAAAAUGUAGGAUAUCCUGGUCAAUUUACUAAACAAGAAUUUUUGGAACAAGCUUCUGAAUCAGAAAUAAACCAUUUCCAUAAAUCCACUAUCACAGAUGCCAUUGAAUCAAAUUGUGACAUAUUUUAUGUACUAGUGAGCACCAUUGAUGGACGUGUUUCAGCUCUAGACCUCCACAACCAGGGUCAUCUAGCAUGGUCAGUUCAGGCAGAUACCAGACCCCUCUAUUCUUCUAGUUUGGCUAAUAUGGAAAUGAUUCGAAAUGGCAAGAAGCUGAGGUUGAUUCCUUCGUUGGAUGGAGCUCUGUACCAGUUUGAUGGGGAGAAGGUGGAGGCCAUCCCCAUGUCAGCUGACAGCCUGCUCUCCUCCACCUACAGGCUCAGUGAUGACUCCAUGAUCGUUGGCAGCAAGGAGCUGCAGAACUUUGGGCUGGAUCUACGCUCUGGCAAGGUCCAGUUCUCCUGCAGCAGUGAGGGCUGUAACACAGCAGAGAGCCAGAGCUCCGCCAUCUUGGUACUCACACGCAGCACACAGGUGGUCAGAUCAGUGGACAUCAAGAAUGGCAUUGAGAAGUGGAACUUCAGUGUUGGUCAGCACCAAAUCAAUCUGCCAUCACCAAACUCACAACUUGAUGAGGACCUGGAAGAUGCCCAAGAUAUCCCCCUUUUUACACACACCUCAGAUGAAUGCAGCGGAGGGGAAAGAUUUGUUGAAGAUUUGGGUGAUGAAGAUUUGUUGCGUCUACUGGUCCCUGAGGGCAGAGUUGUGGCCUUAAGCAGAGAAGAUUCUAGUCUUGUGACGUGGGAACAUAAAUUUGAUGCCCCAAUAGCAAAGGCCUGGCUACUGAGACAAGGCAAACUGGAGCCCAUGAGUUUGUUUGACGGACGCCACAUCCCCACGCUGACCACCUACACCCCUGAUGACAACGACAGCCUGGCCCAGCCUUUGCUCUACAUUGGCUCGCAUCAGAAGUUGCUGUACAUCCAACCCUCGCCUCAGAUGGAAAACAUAAUCAAGUCCUUCACUCGUCAGCGGAUCGGACACAUCUUUGAUCCGGAUGUCAAAGUUUCGUGGAGACCUUACCUGAAUACUGCUUCUGUGAGGACGCCCAUUUUUGGAGGGAACAGACAACCAGCACAACUAGAAAAAUCCCCAGAUGUCAGAAAGAAAAAAGACAGCACAUCACUGACAGUUUGGCAUGAAGAUUACCCUUUUGACACUGGCUACUUCCUGUACCCAGAGUUUGCUGACCUGCGUGCAAGCAAAAAAGAGCAGGUCCUGUUGAUUGAGGACACAAAACAUGGACAACAGGAGCACAAGUGGCAAGUUACUUGGAAACUUGUAUUGGUUGGCGUUAUCUUCUCUGUUGCUUUACAUCUGUGUUUAAUCAAGCUAUUCAAGAAGACUGAUCAUACUUUGGAAAAAGGAAGUGAAGAAGUGUUUCUUGUGUCAUCUGACAGUGCUCCAGUUCUGCAGGAAAAUUCUGGAAGCUUUGGCAAAUACACCUCCAGGUUUGCCACAGAUUUUGAGUGUCUUCACUGCCUUGGUAAGGGAGGGUUUGGGGUGGUCUUUGAGGCUGUAAACAAGGUGGAUGACCAACAUUAUGCUGUCAAAAGGACCAUGCUGCCCAGAAGUGAUGGCGCUAAAGAAAAAGUUUUGCGAGAAGUCAAAGUUUUAGCCAAACUGGAACAUGUUGGAAUAGUUCGAUACUUCAACGCUUGGGUAGAGUCUCCACCAGCAGGAUGGCAGGAAGAGAGAGACAAAUGGCUACCCUUAAGUGAUGAGUCUGGACAUCUGUCAGCAACCUACUCUCCGUGUGGGGUGACCUCAUCAGGCCAGUGUGGGGGCAGGUCAAGCAGGACUGAUGACGUGAGCAGGGACAGCAGCUGGUCAGAUGGCUUCAGUCUUGGCACAUCAGUGGGGGCGGGGCCACCAGUGGAGGCGGGUCCACCAGCGGAGGCGGGGCCAACCUUUGAGCUGGACAUGACUGGCACUGACAGUGUUAUAUUUGAGCACAACAGCUCCACACAAACCUGCUCUGAGAGACAGCAAGAAGGCAGCCAGUCACCAGAAGUGGCUGCAGACAAGGAGCUGACAUCACUGGGCAGGUCUUCCCUGCCUGCAACCAAAUAUUUCCUCUACAUACAAAUGCAGCUGUAUCAAAAAGACACUCUGAAAGAUUGGUUAAACAACAACACAUUACAGCGAGAUCGCCAUUUGGUGCUUGAUAUUUUUUCUCAAAUAGCCAGCGCAGUGGACUAUGUCCACACUUGUGGCCUGAUGCAUCGAGAUCUUAAACCUUCCAACAUAUUUUUCUCUGCUGAUGGCACAGUUAAGGUGGGAGACUUUGGUCUGGUCACAGCGCUCACUGUACAACAGGACCUGGACUCCUGGUCGGAUUCAAACUCUGACAAGCACACAGCUGAGGUCGGGACCACACUAUACAUGAGCCCAGAACAGGUUGCCAAAAAGCCUUAUGACUUUAAGGUGGAUAUAUUUUCUUUGGGUUUAAUUUUCUUGGAACUUUGGAUACCUUUUUCUACUCAAAUGGAGAGAAUGAGGACACUACAAGAUGCCAAAAGACAGAUUCUUCCAGAGAGAUUCCUCAGAGAAUUGCCAACUGAGAGCCAGCUUGUUUACCAGAUGACCAGUGGUGACCCGACAAUGCGACCAACAGCCAAAGAAAUUUUAAAUCAUCAAUUAUUUGCUCAAGUGGCACCCUCUGGAGCAGCGCCUCGAAGACGUACAACAUCUGAAGUUUAACUUUUGAUAUUUUUUUAUAACUUGAUGCUAGGGACAUAGAACAACAGAGUCUAGCACAACUAGAAUGUCAAUCAUUUUAAAUGGCUAGCACCCACUUCUCAGUGGUCCUGUCCUUGUACAAUGCUAGUUUUUAUGUACCUAUUUGGUGAACCAGUUUAAACUGAUCCAUCACAUCCAUUAUGUACAUGUUUGCAAUCUUAAUAGAAAUCUAUCACUUCUCAUGUACACCUGUGGGGGAGACCGCCACAUUGUCCACACCUGUGGGGGAGACCGCCACACUGUCCACACCUGUGGGGGAGACCGCCACACUGUCCACACCUGUGGGGGAGACCGCCACACUGUCCACACCUGUGGGGGAGACCGCCACACUGUCCACACCUGUGGGGGAGACCGCCACACUGUCCACACCUGUGGGGGAGACCGCCACACUGUCCACACCUGUGGGGGAGACCGCCACACUGUCCACACCUGUGGGGGAGACCGCCACACUGUCCACACCUGUGGGGGAGACCGCCACACUGUCCACACCUGUGGGGGAGACCCCCACACUGUCCACACCUGUGGGGGAGACCGCCACACUGUCCACACCUGUGGGGGAGACCGCCACACUGUCCACACCUGUGGGGGAGACCGCCACACUGUCCACACCUGUGGGGGAGACCGCCACACUGUCCACACCUGUGGGGGAGACCGCCACACUGUCCACACCUGUGGGGGAGACCGCCACACUGUCCACACCUGUGGGGCAGACCCCCACACUGUCCACACCUGUGGGGCAGACCUCACCUUCAGCUAGUGUUUGAAAACACAAUGUACUUGCAUACUAGCCAUGAUUGGUCAGCAAUUCGGCUUAAGGUAGCACUUCAUGCAUCACUUGACUUUUCACCUUGACUAAAAAAAUUCUAAGCACAAUUGAUAAAAUUGAUUCUUUUAAAAGCCAGACCUGUCAAAUUGCGACGGCCUAAAUGUUAUCAGGUUGUGGAGAUCUGAGGUGCAUUGUUGAUUAGUGAACUAUAAUUUUUCCCAGUGGGGAAUGAACAUUCCAGCCAACAUAUGGAAGUGCUACAUCUCCUUAUUUAAAUGUCUGAUGCAGCUAGUUCUGGUAAUGACUAGCAGGUCUAUGCUACAUCUCCUUAUUUAAAUGUCUG